rfam:Populus trichocarpa scaffold_18_contig_251, whole genome shotgun sequence.
CUUUUUAAGGUUAAACAUCAAUUAUUCAACGAGUCUCUUAUUUUUAGGAACUAGUGUCAUUUUUUAACGCGACUCCUAUUUUUUAAGAUC